CUAAAAUAAUCCCGAGAUCCGUUCAGCGGAUGUCGAACGCAAGUGAGAAAACCGCUUUUAAUCGUGUUUGAUCGGUUUUUAUUGAGGGGUCGAUUUUUAAUCUAUCGAUAUCUUAACCAAAAUUAAUUAAAAGAGUCAUAGAGAAGAUGUGUCGUCUGCUCUCGCUUUGUUAACACGUUUCGAAAAAGUGGCGAGGUGAUUAGUGAUUAGUCAUUAGUGAAUGAUAUUGAUAACUAUAGUGGACAAACUUAUCAUUUUUUUUUAAACGUGGCUGCACGAAAAGAAGCACAAAAAAUAGAAUGACAAAAAAUUUGGUCGUCGUGUGAACAAGGUAACUCUUUAUGGAAUCGCUUAACUCACACUCCAUGCAAUGUUAAGCAGAUGCAGAUUUGGAGGCAGCCAUCGCAACCACUAGAUAUGCAAGUUUUUCUGGUGCUGAUACUGACCUGUCACAGCAAAAAUCCAAGUAUAAUUGCUUGGAUAAACAGCAUCCCAUCUGAUUGAUGGGAGAAACUACCGAUGCCAGCCGAGUUACGGAUUACCGUGGAUCUCUUCUUCCCCUUUCUUGAAAUCCUCUCUGUCCUCGUGUACGCCCAUGUGAAUGUGGGGGUAUUCACGAGUCUGAGACUCUUUUUCCUAUCCUGCCUGGUGUCUUCCAACUAUUCUGCGGAUGGAGCACUUGCGGAAUGCCUGGCUGUAUUUCCCAGGCAUAAAGGAAUAAUGACCAACUUGUUAGCACAAUAGAAUCGCUGUCGGACCACCACAGAUGCGCUACAGCGAUCCUCCCGUCAUGCACGGCACAAGAGAGUAUUAGAAGACCAACGCCACGCCAAUUUGUGGAUUUCGUCGAACUCAUAAAAAGUUUGUAUUCCAAUUCGAUAGUCACAUCUAUCUGGAAAUAUAGAUUUUAGUGAAAGGAAAAUCAUUUGAAAUUCGGGAUGAGUCGCUUCUUUCCAGACUGUACAAAUUCCUUGUUUGUGUACACACACAAAUUCGUUUGCCAUUGUCUAGUCGAUUUUUUCCGCUUUGUAGUAAAGCCUGUUCGGUGCAUAAAUUACUAUACAAUGAAUUGCGUCCUGAUAAUUAGGGAUACCUUAAUGAUACGCACGUAUCUUUGUAAUUUUUGCAAUCUCAUUCAUUCUUGCACUGUGUCUGCGUGAAUUGUUUUAUUUUUACGGUAUUUUGACCCACCCGAACCGACAUCACCAUCUAUUGGCUAUGAUGAGAACCCGUUUCACAGAUUCUGCUGUUUAUGAUUUUUGAGCACUAGGUGGCGGAGUCG